ACAAGUGUAGUAAGGCCACAGGGAGGGCCAAGCCGGCCCUGAUCGAUGAGCAAUAGAUGAUCCCUGCCAUCAUGCUUCAGCUCGGGGCCCUCUGCUCGUUCAGACGCAAGCCCUUAGGAGCAAUUUUUUAAAAUUAUUAUUAUUAAUCUUCAUUUUCUUCUGGCUCAGGAGAAGGUACCGGGCUAAUAGAUCAGGGAGGCAGAGAUCUGUUGGUAAUUUAACCUCCCAAGAGAAAACAAGUUCCCUCGUCUCUUCCCUGUGGAGGGGUCAGGAGAUUUGCAUGUCUCUAUUUACCUGCCAUGAAACAUAUCCCAAGUCACCCUAAAAGAGCAAAAAGCCCCAGGCAUGAGGAUUUGUAAGAACUCACUUUCAGCACCUGAUUUCUGAAAACGGCUGCAGCUAUAGACAACAUAACGACCCUCGCAAGACAUUCCUGUCCCAACCCCCAGAGUCUGUGAAUAGGUGACCUUACAAAGAGGACUCUGCAGGUGGGACGGAGGGAAGGAUGCUGAGUUGGGCAUUACCUGGGUGGGCCUGGAUUACCUGGGUGGGCCUGACACGCUUCCAAGGGAAAGAGGCGGCAUUUGCCUCACAAAGGGAAUUAUCAAUAAAAGAAUAGGCACAAGGGCUACAAGCCAAGGCAGGCAGGCAGCCUCUGAAGACUGGGAAAGUGGGGAGGCUUCUCUAGAGGGAAGACAGCCCUGCUGACACCAUGAUUUUUCGCCUCUAAGACCAGAUUUCUGAUCUCCAGAACUAUUAAGAGAAUAAACCUGUGUGACUUUAAGCCA